GCACCAGGCCGGGCCCCUCUGGCAGUUCCGAUGAACUGCGAUGUCGGACUGGAUGU
rfam:Microvirga vignae strain BR3299 T20BR3299_1_(paired)_contig_10, whole genome shotgun sequence.